AAGUCGUAACAUAACCGGUAAAUCAUUGCCAAACAGUUUUGAUUCGGGACCUCUGUCCAUGGAAGCAGUGGCAUGGCUUCCCCAAGCAGUUAGUGAAUGACAGUGUCACUGACUGUGUAAGGAUAACGCCUCACGGUUGCUAGAGGUCGAUCACCGACCGGCAGACAUGUCACAGGGUCACCACGCCCCUUAAUCACUCCACUUGAAAUGCCCCGCCUAGUAACGCGCUAGGUAAAAAAACCGAACAACUGUUAACAAUACGAUGAAGAACGCAGC
rnacentral:misc_RNA from 1 species